UCCUGCCCACUUGUUUGCAUUGUGACACAUGCUUCAGUGCUCUGAGAGUGUUUAUAGUGCUGUGAGUUUAACACUUCAUGACUGAGAGCAGAACAGACACAAUCUUCAUCAUCACACAAGACAAAAGAACAACAAUGAACACAAUCACCUUCUUCAUCUGGACUCUCACACUGUUUAUUCAAGAGUGUAGAGGACAGUACACUGUAACUCAGAGUCCAUCAUCAAUAACAGUUCAACCAGGACAAGAAGUCAGAAUCAACUGUAAAACCAGCAGUGCAGUGUAUGAUGGUGAUUGUUUAGCCUGGUACUUACAGAAACCUGGAGAAGCUCCUAAACUCCUGAUUUAUUAUAUAAACAGACUCCAGUCAGGAACUCCUUCUAGAUUCAGUGGCAGUGGAGCUAGAUAUGGAACUGAUUUCACUCUGACCAUCAGUGGAGUCCAGACUGAAGAUACAGGAGAUUAUUACUGUCAGAGUUUACACUGUCCUAGUAGCUGUGUGUUCACACAGUGAUAAAGAGUGGUACAAAAACCUCGGUCAGUCAGACGUCACAGUGAUGCACUGAUACAGCUGAGAGAUACUGCAGCUGCUGAUGGAGGAUCACAAACAACACAAUGGUGUAUCAAACCUUUCAGACAGAUUAUUUAUUUAUUUUGAUGUACUAAGCAUGUAACACAAUCUUUAUAUUAUAUAAAUGUUAGAGGUGCUCGGUCCUGCAAAACUUGCCACUACAAUGUAAUCUAACUGCAGGAAAGUCCGUCACUUUAACUGCACUUCCAUGCUUCAUCACUAGAUGGCGUGUCUGUUACAUAACUGAGUUCUCUAUCUGUCAGUCACUUUGACGUUGUGUCAUGUGAUGACACUAGUGUAGUGUUCCCUUUCGUGGGAACUAUCGACGCUACGUCAAUGACGUGAUGGGAACCCUCUGUAUGAUGUGUUCGCGAAGCACCUCUGUAUCAGAGGCGGGUGACGUCACGGACCAGGAAACUAUAAAGCAUACCCAGAACAAAGAACACUAGCUUCUGUUGUCUUCAGCAAGCGCUCUCUGUAUCUUGUGUGUCUUAUUUGGUGUUGUUUGUCUUAUCACAUAUAAACAAGUCACAAUCUCUUCGUCUGAGGACAAGAGUAUCUCACACCAAUCCAUAUAUUUAUAUAUAAAAAAUACACGUAUUAUGGCCAGAAACAGCAGUGAAAUGGGACUCGAGUAUGCCCAGGCAGCUUUCGAGGGAGCCGUCUGUGUGCACUGUAAAAACUUAAGGUGUGUCCCAAUUCGCGUACUUGUGCACUAUUCUAUGAUGUUUUUAAGUAUAAAUAGUGCGAG